rnacentral:lncRNA from 1 species
GGCAGAGGCAGGCGAAUUUCUGAGUUCGAGGCCAGCCUGGUCUACAAAGUGAGUUGAAGGACAGCCAGGGCUACACAGAGAAACCCUGUCUCGAAAAACCAAAAAAAAAAAAAAAAAAAAAAAAAAAAGAUGCUUACUGCCAACCAUGAAGUCUUGAGUUUGAUCUCUGAAUCCUACAUGGUAACAGAGAGCUAACUACUAAUUGUCCUAUUACCUCCACACAGAAAUUGUGGCAUGUACACACACACACACACACACACACACACACACACACGACAAUUUUUUUUAAGAUGAAAUAUCUCAAACAGAAUUGCACCUAAUAUAACCACACAGCUUGAUGAAGGACAUCAUAUUUGUCUCUUAACCAUAUCCAGUUGAUUCUUGCCUUAGCACAUCACGAGUGAAACCAUCCUUUAAGACUGACGAUGAUGUUCAAAAGGCCCCAGAGUGCAAGCCUCAGGGAAUGCACAUAGUUUCAGAACUGCGCAUUCACUAGGCUCCAAACAUGGUCUUGUCUCCUUAUGUAUAGGAGGUGGGUGAUGCUGCAGCUUGCACAUAGUUGUAGUAUUGCCCUAAGUGACAGCCUCAUGAGGUAGUGCUCGUUUUAUAAGCUGUGCCCUGGACUUCUGGGGAAAUAUGCAAAUGACUCUGUUCUUCACCAGUUGUAUGAUUAUUAAAACUUCUUUCCUGCCUACUAUUGCUGAUUAUCUUAGAUAAAAAAAAUGGCAGCAGCCAUACCUGCUUUAGGGGACUGUUGUGAGGAUAGUUUGGUCUGUUAUUAAUGUUGUUGUUAUUACUAUUAUUAUUAUUACUAUUACUAUUACUGUUAUUAAUUUGAGACAAGGUUUCUCUGUACAUCCCUGGCCAUCCUGGAACUCACUAUGUCGGCCAGGCUGGCCUUGAACUCAGUGAUUCCCCUGCCUCUGCUAGGAUCGAAGGCAUGUACCUCCACCAUUCUGCAGGAUGGUCUGUUUUAAAUGAGACAGUACAUGGAACGUAGAGGAAGGGGCCAGACACUCGCAGCCACUUUGUGAAUAUAAGGUGCUCUCAGACCAUUGUAUGCUUGGCAUUGUAGGAAGAACAUAGCUACAGCCCUUGCCUUCCAACAAAUCAAGAUAGAUCGUCCCAUUCUAGAUGGAGCUGAAGAACUCUGAUUAUUAUCUCUUCCGUCUUUGCCUUCUGAGAACUCAGGGUCACUUGCAGUCAGCUCUACCCUUCUUUCACGUGAGCCACCUUUCAAGCUCUGUUUUGACCUCAUUCCUAGAACUUUUCCAUCUUGCCACACGUGGGCAUAGUUGCUUGACUACUUCACUGGACGCUGGAACUAGCUCUGGUAUUUAAUCACAAGGAAGGGUGUGACCUUAGCGGGACAUACCCUCAUCUCUAAGGUGAUAGCAGUAUCACACUUGAGAUUUCCCUGUCCCCUUUUGGGCUGAUGAACCUCAGAAUACAAUGCUUCUACAGUUCUUUUCAAGUUCCCACUAUAUUCUGUUUUAAUUUAACUAUGCAUUCGUUCACUCUACUAAGAAUUCUUGAGCAUUCGUUGAGCUUAGCUCUAGGAAUAAACAAACAUGGGUAAGAACUGGUCUUUGCCCUGGGUGCAGGUUGGGGAGGCUGCUUGCUGGACUGGAGGAGCCAGAACUGGGCCCCUGGUUCAGGUGGCACAAUACAGGAAAAUCCCCCUGGAGGGGAUUGGAUGCUUCCUCUGCUGUAGUGCAAAUAGAUUCGUCUUUCAGUUCAGAUCUUUUUUUGGACCCUUUCUCCAGAGACUAGGAGCCUCUUGUUUCAUAAUAGCUUCCCUGCAGCGACCUCAACUUUUAUCCUUCCUGAUGGUCAUAGUUUUUACAUGGGGGUAGGAGGCAUUAGGACAUGGCAUGCAAAACUCCUUUGCUCUUCCUAGUCUUAAUUUGACAGACACGAUAUAUGCAAAUUUGGGACACGACCAUUGACUUUUGAAGGUAAUUUGCUUUGCAGAGCACAUGUCCCCCACUCCCUGCCCCCUUUCUGCAUUUAUUUUACAUAUAUCAACCCUGGCAUGUCCAAAAGAUUUCCUUUAGACUUCCAAAUCACUUCUGGAAGGUUUCUAUUUCAUUUUCUUGCCUUCUUUGAUAUAAAUAAGCAAAAUAAUAUUCUGGCGAAGCUCAUCAGUAGUGGGAGCCAAGCACAGCCCCGCCUAGCCAGUGAGGAGCCAUUGUCUAACCCAGGACGUCUGUAGCAGUACUAGUAAUAUCCCUUUGGAUGAGUGUACACUUAGGAUGGGUUAAGCAUAAGCUUUGUUAAGUGCUGAGAGCGGAGUGUGCAGCCAGAGAGUUGGCUUUUCUUACUUGCUACUGUCUUCUGACUAAUUCUCCUGAGUAUAUUCCUAGGCAUAAGUUAGAACCACUUUGGGGCUGAUCAGUAGCUCUAAAUGCAGUGAAUAACUGUUUUUGGCACCAGUCACUAGACACUCAUAGCCAUCGUCAGGAAAAGGAUUCUAAAUUAAAAUCGCGCACUGCUUUCCUUUCCGUCUUGGAUUUGCUGCUUGGAAAAUGACUGUGAAAUCUCCUACCCAAACCUUUCACAUCCUCUCUAUCAUUUCUGUUGUCCUCGUGACAGGGUCUCAGUGUGUAGUCUGGACUUAUCUUGAUGAUUGCCUGGCCUUAGGCUCCACAGUGCUGGGAUUAUUUGGCACGUGUCGCCAUGGUUGGCUCCUCCCGGUCAUUUACACUGGAAACUUCUCUACCAUUUUUUAUUUGUCCUUCAUCACUUCCCAUAUGGUUAAUUUUAUCUUUGUAACAUCUCUUAAUCUAUUCCCCACCCACCCACACAUUUUCAUGACCUUUGACAUUCUCUCUCUCUCUCUCUCUCUCUCUCUCUCUCUCUCUCUCUCUCAAUUUCCAGUCUAGUUUUUGAAGGUAGGCAGUAUUGGGUAUAGAACCUAGGCCAUGUGCAUGCUAGGCACGUGAUGUUCUCCUGAGCACUUACACCCUGUGUCACCAGCCCAUUUAUCUUUUUAUUUUAUAAUCUCUUUAGUAUUUCCCUUGGUGUGUCACAGAAGCCACCUGACUGAUAUCCUUUUAAAAACCACUUUACUGUGCUAUAUCCACUUGCUGUAAAAUUCAUUCGGAGCACACGAGCCCAUGGCUUUCAUUACUGGCCAGAGAUAACUGGGGCCUUUACUAUAGCCGCCAUCAGAACCCUUCAUCACCCGCAGAAGAAAUCCUGUACCCUCAGCUAGCAUCUCUAUCUCCUUUUCUGUAGAUAACCCUUUCUGUCUCUCAAGGUUCCCUGUUCGGGACUUACUUGCAUAUGAAUGGAGUUAUAUAGGCCUUUGUGUCCAUCCCCUGGAAAACACAGAGACACCUUGCUGUAUGUCUGGCCUCCAGUCUGACUGUCCUGACUUAUCACCCAUUCUAACUGGCCGUAAGCCUUCUAUCUCAACUUGGCGCACCACCUUCCCAGAGAAUUCUGGGUACCAUUUUUUUUUUUGUUGUGGAAAUCGUUGACUUUGUUGCUUGCCUCUGCCUGUGCAGUUCAUCCUUGUCUUCCAGACCUAGCUUCAUGACCACAGGCUUGGAACACAUCACCCCGGUCUGCUCCUGUCUCAAGUAGGAGUUAACCUUCCGUCCUCUGAGCACGUAGCUGGGAAUCCCAAAAUGUUAUUGUCAUUCUGUUUUCUCUACUGUAUUCUUUCAUAGUUGUUUCCU